GACGAACGCUGGCGGCGUGCCUAAUACAUGCAAGUAGAACGCUGAAGGAGGAGCUUGCUUCUCCGGAUGAGUUGCGAACGGGUGAGUAACGCGUAGGUAACCUGCCUGGUAGCGGGGGAUAACUAUUGGAAACGAUAGCUAAUACCGCAUAACAGUAGAUAUUGCAUGAUAUCUGCUUGAAAGGUGCAAUUGCAUCACUACCAGAUGGACCUGCGUUGUAUUAGCUAGUUGGUGAGGUAACGGCUCACCAAGGCGACGAUACAUCGCCGACCUGGGGGGGGGGACGGCCAAAAUGGGACUGAGACACGGCCCAGACUCCCACGGGAGGCAGCAGUAGGGAAACUUCGGGCAUGGACGGAAGGCUGACCGGGCCACGCCGCGUGAGUGAAGAAGGGUUUCGGAUCGUAAAGCUCGGUUGUAAGGGAAGAACGAGUGGGAGAGUGGAAAGUUCACAAUGUGACGGUACCUGAUCAGAAAGCGACGGCUAACUACGUG
rnacentral:rRNA from 1 species